GACGAACGCUGGCGGCGUGCCUAAUACAUGCAAGUCGAACGCAGUGGGGACGGGUGCGUAACACGUGGCUAACCUCCCAUCAGACGGGAUAACCCUUGGAAACAGGUGCUAAACCGAUACUGAUUGAUGGACCCGCGGUGCAUUCGCUAGUUGGUGCGGUAACGGCUCACCAAGGCCACGAUGCAUAGCCGACCUGAGAGGGUGAUCAGCCACACUGGGACUGAGACACGGCCCAGACUCCUACGGGAGGCAGCAGUAGGGAAUCGUCGGCAAUGGGCGAAAGCCUGAUCGAGCAACGCCGCGUGAGUGAAGAAGGUUUUCGGAUCGUAAAACACUGUUGUUAGAGAAGCGGUAUCUAAACAGAAAGCCACGGCUAACUACGUGCCAGCCGCCGCGGUAAUAC
rnacentral:rRNA from 1 species